rnacentral:rRNA from 1 species
AGUGAACGCUGGCGGCGUGCUUAACACAUGCAAGUCGAACGAGAACGGAUUAUAGCUUGCUAUAAUUGUCAGCUAAGUGGCGCACGGGUGAGUAAUGUAUAGGUAAUAUGCCUCUUACUAAGGGAUAACAAAUGGAAACGUUUGCUAAUACCUUAUACUCCUUAUUAACAGAAGUUAAUAAGGGAAAGAUUUAUUGGUAAGAGAUUAGCCUGUAUUGUAUCAGUUAGUUGGUGGGGUAAUGGCUUACCAAGACUAUGACACAUAACUGGUUUGAGAGGAUGAUCAGUCACACUGGAACUGAGAC